CCCGACACUUUCCUGAAAUACUUAAACGCAAUAUCAUGAUUACUUAAUGUAGUUAAAAAUUCUGUGUUUUUACUUCUCUCAGUACAAUUUAUAGCAAACCUAAAAGGAGGACAGUUUCUUUUCAUGGCCUCAAUAUCCAUUUCCAUCCCCAUUUCCAUGUGGGUUUGGAUUUGGAAGUUAUCUGCGAUGUAGCAGCAAAACUAGGAAGUCAUUCAGGAACCCUCUUGUUGAUCCGAGGACCAAGUGCACUCGCUGCUGUUACAUUCAUGGGACUCACAUGAUUGACAGCUAUAGAGAGAGAGGACACCGUGAUUACCUUCUUCAUUAUAAUGUCAAACUUCGGAGAACAUUAAGAUGCCAGGCGAACUGCAAAAUAAUAAUAUACAGCUUCAUGCACCAGAAGGUCCUUACUUUUACCAAUGGUUGUCUAAUGCAGCGUACUACACACAGAUGCAAAUUAUAGCACCAUAAUUGCGUCGGAUCAUCAUCCUCUGGUGAACGUCAACCUCAGAAGGAUAAAAUCAUCCAGAUUUGAACAGCAAAAUCGCCUUCUGAUCCAAAUAAAAGUAAACGAAGUGGUUUGUUUCGUGGGUCACAUAGGAACC